AGAGUUUGAUCCUGGCUCAGGAUGAACGCUAGCGACAGGCCUAACACAUGCAAGUCGAGGGGCAUCGAGGAUUAGCAAUAAUUUGUCGGCGACCGGCGCACGGGUGAGUAACACGUAUGCAACCUGGCUUCAACACUGGAAUAACCCGUUGAAAGACGGCCUAAUACUCGAUAAAACAGGGACCCCGCCUGGGGAUAUUUGUUAAAGAUUUAUCGGUUGAAGAUGGGCAUGCGUAUGAUUAGCUAGUUGGUGAGGUAACGGCUCACCAAGGCAGCGAUCAUUAGGGGUUCUGAGAGGAAGGUCCCCCACACUGGUACUGAGACACGGACCAGACUCCUACGGGAGGCAGCAGUGAGGAAUAUUGGUCAAUGGGCGAGAGCCUGAACCAGCCAAGUCGCGUGAAGGAAGACGGCCCUACGGGUUGUAAACUUCUUUUGCAAUGGAAUAAAAAGAGUUACGUGUAAUUCAUUGUAUGUACAUUGCGAAUAAGGAUCGGCUAACUCCGUGCCAGCAGCCGCGGUAA
rnacentral:rRNA from 1 species